rnacentral:lncRNA from 10 species
CAGGGGAGAAGGAGAAAGCAGGACAGGUUCCCCUCACACAGAGCGGAAGCACAGCCCUGGCAUCAAGUGGGAGCAUGGCCCAGGGCAAGGAGCUCUGGGAGUGCAGCCUGGGGCCUUGAAUGACCCGGAGGACUGGAUUUGAGGAGGGCGCCUCCUGAACCUUCUUCUGUCCUCUAGAGGGACUGCACCAGAUGGCAGCUUCCUGUGAGCGGGAGCCCUCAGGUCAGGAAUUGAGGGUGCAUCCAGCUGUGAGCCAGGGGCCAUGGAGCAAGGCUCACCCGCUUCCCAGGAGGUUCUCAAGGGCUGGGCUCUCAGGUAGAGAAACUGAAGCUCAUCAGACCUCUCGGCCACGGCUACUUCAGGCUCCUAGGAGACUCACCUGCCUGUAAAGAUGGUACCAGGAGCUAACAAUUGCUAGUGAAGUCUAAUAUGGGAGCUGCUAGCCACACGCGCUUCUGAGCAUUUGAAAUGCUGCUGUUCCCAAUUACAAUGUGUUAAAGGUGUAAAAUAUAUGCCAGAUUUUGAAGACAUUGUGCCAAAAAAGGUAAAAUUUUUAUUAAUUAUUUUAUAUUGGGUCCAUAUUGAAACUAUAUAUAUGUGUGUAUAUAUAUGAGUGUGUGUGUAUAUAUAUAUAUAUAUAUAUAUUUUUUUUUUUUUUUUUUGAGAUGGAGUCUCACUCUGUCACCCAGGCUGGAGGGCAGUGGUGCAAUCUUGGCUCACUGCAACCUCCACCUCCCGGGUUCAAGUGAUUCUCCUGCCUCAGCCUCCCAACUGGCUGGAAUUACAGGCACAUGCCACCACGCCUGGCUAAUUUU